rnacentral:rRNA from 1 species
UACGUAGGGUGCGAGCGUUAAUCGGAAUUACUGGGCGUAAAGCGUGCGCAGGCGGUUUUGUAAGUCAGAUGUGAAAUCCCCGGGCUUAACCUGGGAAUGGCAUUUGGGACUGCAAGGCUCGAGUGCGGCAGAGGAGACUGGAAUUCCUGGUGUAGCAGUGAAAUGCGUAGAUAUCAGGAGGAAUACCGAUGGCGAAGGCAGGUCUCUGGGCUGACACUGACGCUCAUGCACGAAAGCGUGGGGAGCAAACAGG